GGGGAAUUUUGGACAAUGGGGGCAACCCUGAUCCAGCCAUGCCGCGUGAGUGAAGAAGGCCUUCGGGUUGUAAAGCUCUUUCGGUGGGGAAGAAAACGCACAGGCUAAUACCUUGUGUGGAUGACGGUACCCGCAUAAGAAGCACCGGCUAACUACGUGCCAGCAGCCGCGGUAAUACGUAGGGUGCGAGCGUUAAUCGGAAUUACUGGGCGUAAAGCGUGCGCAGGCGGUUUUGUAAGACAGGCGUGAAAUCCCCGGGCUCAACCUGGGAAUGGCGCUUGUGACUGCAAGGCUAGAGUACGGCAGAGGGGGGUAGAGUUCCACGUGUAGCAGUGAAAUGCGUAGAGAUGUGGAGGAAUACCGAUGGCGAAGGCAGCCCCCUGGGCCGAUACUGACGCUCAUGCACGAAAGCGUGGGGAGCAAAC
rnacentral:rRNA from 1 species